CCGUGAAACCGGGAAUCGGACAGUAUCUGGUGGGUAGUUUAACUGGGGCGGUUGCCUCCUAAAAUGUAACGGAGGCGUUUACAAAGGUUGGCUAGCUGCGGAUGGAAAUCGCAGUGGUAGUGCAAACGCAUAAGCCAGCUUUACUGCAAGGGUUACAACCCGCGCAGUUGCGAAAGCAGAAGUUAGUGAUCCGACCGUGCCUUAUAGGCGGCCGGAAGCUCAACGGAUAAAAGUUACUCCGGGGAUAACAGGCUUAUCUCCCCCAAGAGUCCACAUCGACGGGGAGGUUUGGCACCUUAACAUAUCGGGGUGCUAUGGGAGUGAUCCCAUACCAAAAAAUCGGCUAAUAACGGUGAACCCGUAGUUAUGCAAGUGGAAAGUUAAUGCAUAACCGGCAAUACCGUGGGAAGUCCUCUGACAAUAUAUAUUGUUAUGACCCCGUAACGACUGACCCGAAAGGGAAGACUUGCUGAACUAGAAUUGUAAACACUAUACGAUUCUAUGCCCUCACAAAUGAAAUGCAUCAUUUCAUUUGAAGAGGAGGAAUGUACGAAAGCUGGAGUCAUUCGAAUUUAUUCGAAUGCGAAAGCUGAAGUGCUAUUCCGACGAACGCAGCAGGUAAUACGCCGACUCCAAUCACUUGGUUUUUAUACACCAAGACACCUCAAGAAUACGGUUUGCAGUAGUUGCAAAACCUACAGUUCGAGGAUUGGAAGAAGAUAUAGUCUAUACCAUACGAAACUAUGGAAUGAAUAUACGAUGUCGGCUCAUCGCAUCCUGGGGCUGAAGAAGGUCCCAAGGGUUUGGCUGUUCGCCAAUUAAAGCGGUACGCGAGCUGGGUUCAGAACGUCGCGAGACAGUUCGGUCUCCUAUCCACUGUGAGCGUUGAUACUUGAGAGGUCUCUCCUCUAGUACGAGAGGACCGAGGAGAAUGCACCUCUAGUGUGCCGGUUGUUCCACCAGGGGCAUUGCCGGGUAGCUAUGUGCAGUAUAGAUAAACGCUGAAGGCAUCUAAGCGUGAAGCUGUCCUCAAGAUUAGGUAUCGUUAUGAGAUCCCAGAGAGAUUAUCUGGUUGAUAGGCACUAGGUGUAAGCGCAGCAAUGCGUUGAGCCGAGGUGUACUAAUGAUCCAUGC
rnacentral:rRNA from 1 species